rnacentral:lncRNA from 1 species
AAGGAAACUGUAAAUAUUCAAACCACAAGAAGUUAAGUACAUUGUAAAUUCUGUUUGAAGAAUACUAUAUAAGACAGACCAAAUUCUUAACGUCAUUAUUUCUGGGGUAACUCCGUAUUUUAAAAGUCUUCCAGCAGAUUUAUACAAAUCUUCCAUUAUGAACAAGUUAAUGUUGGUGUUACUCCUGGUGAGUUGUAUCACCAUGGUUAUCGUUCCUGAGGUUGCUGAAGCUCAGUGGCGUGGCGGCGGUAGACGGUGUAGAUGUAGAUAUCGUAGAUGUUACUAUGGAGAAUACCCACGGGGACGCUGUGGUUACGGGCCUCUUUGCUGUAGUCGACGACGACAUAAUGACUAAUAAGGAAUGAAGUCAUAUUGUUGCAACUUGAUCUGGCCAACCUUUAAAACCUUUGAUGAAGGAUUAGAAAUUACAUUUUUUCUGAACUAAAAUUUAAUGUUCAUAAUUCUUAAAAAAAAUAUAUUGCAAGAAACGAAA